UCAUGAUAUUGCACAUAUCCCUGCUUCUGCUGUUAUAUCAGCCUCUACCUCUCAGGUCCCCUCCAUAGCAACAGUUCCUCCUAGCCUCACAACUUCAGCUCCAUUAAUUCGCCGUCAGCUCUCACAUGACCACGAAUCUGUUGGCCCUCCUAGCCUGGAUGCUCAGCCCAACUCAAAGACAGAAAGAUCAAAAUCAUAUGAUGAGGGUCUGGAUGAUUACAGAGAAGAUGCAAAAUUGUAAGUCUCAGGUGUAUUAUUUGAAAUAUUUGUAUGUGGGUGGAUUUUCAGCAUG
rnacentral:sRNA from 1 species